GGAGAGGUGUCCGAGCGGCCGAAGGAGCACGACUGGAAAUCGUGUAGGCGUUAAUAGCGUCUCGAGGGUUCAAAUCCCUCCCUCUCCGCCA
rnacentral:tRNA from 4 species